rnacentral:rRNA from 1 species
AAAUUGAAGAGUUUGAGCAUGGCUCAGAUUGAACGCUGGCGGCAGGCCUAACACAUGCAAGUCGAACGGUAGCACAGAGGAGCUUGCUCCUUGGGUGACGAGUGGCGGACGGGUGAGUAAUGUCUGGGAAACUGCCCGAUGGAGGGGGAUAACUACUGGAAACGGUAGCUAAUACCGCAUAACGUCGCAAGACCAAAGAGGGGGACCUUCGGGCCUCUUGCCAUCGGAUGUGCCCAGAUGGGAUU